UGGCUCUCGCAUCGAUGAAGAACGCAGCGAAAUGUGAUAAGUAAUGUGAAUUGCAGAAUUCAGUGAAUCAUCGAAUCUUUGAACGCAUCUUGCGCUCUCUGGUAUUCCGGAGAGCAUGUCUGUUUGAGUGUCAUGAACUCUUCAACCCACCUUUUCCUAGUUGAACAAGGAUUGGAGUUUGGAUUUUGAGUGUUUGCUAGUCUGACUAGCUCAUUCGUAAUACAUUAGCAUUCUCGAAUUCGAAAUUCGGAUUGACUCGGCGUAAUAGACUUAUUCGCUGAGGACACUUUUUCUGAAAGUGGCCGAACUAGAGACUGUUUAGAAGCUUCUAACCUACCAAAAGUCAUAACUUUGAUUUUAGACCUCAGAUCAGAUAGGAUUACCCGCUGA
rnacentral:misc_RNA from 1 species